AUUUAAAUAGCUUAAAUAUAAGAGCGUAACACUGAAGAUGUUGGGGUAGUAAAUUUUACUUUUAAAUA
rnacentral:tRNA from 1 species